rnacentral:misc_RNA from 1 species
CCAAUAGCGUAUAUUAAAGUUGUUGCAGUUAAAAAGCUCGUAGUUGAAUUUCGGGGUUCAUACGUUGGUCAGGCUUUUUGGUCUGUACUAGCGUAAUGGAUUCCUACCUUCUGAAUAACCGGCAUGCCAUUAAUUUGGUGCGCCGGGGAAGCAGGACUGUUACCUUGAAAAAAUUAGAGUGCUUAAAGCAGGCUAUCGCCUGAAUACAUUAGCAUGGAAUAAUGAAAUAGGACGGCAUGGUUCUAUUUUGUUGGUUUCUAGGAUCACCGUAAUGAUUAAUAGGGAUAGUUGGGGGCAUUAGUAUUCAAUUGUCAGAGGUGAAAUUCUUGGAUUUAUUGAAGACUAACUUCUGCGAAAGCAUUUGCCAAGGAUGUUUUCGUUAAUCAAGAACGAAAGUUAGGGGAUCGAAGACGAUCAGAUACCGUCGUAGUCUUAACCAUAAACUAUGCCGACUAGGGAUCGGACGAUGUUAAUUUUUUAAUGACUCGUUCGGCGCCUUACG